UGGGGAAUAUUGCACAAUGGGCGCAAGCCUGAUGCAGCCAUGCCGCGUGUAUGAAGAAGGCCUUCGGGUUGUAAAGUACUUUCAGUCGGGAGGAAGGUGGUAAGGUUAAUAACCUUGGCAAUUGACGUUACCGACAGAAGAAGCACCGGCUAACUCCGUGCCAGCAGCCGCGGUAAUACGGAGGGUGCAAGCGUUAAUCGGAAUUACUGGGCGUAAAGCGCACGCAGGCGGUCUGUCAAGUCAGAUGUGAAAUCCUCGGGCUCAACCUGGGAACUGCAUCUGAUACUGGCAAGCUUGAGUCUCGUAGAGGGGGGUAGAAUUCCAGGUGUAGCGGUGAAAUGCGUAGAGAUCUGGAGGAAUACCGGUGGCGAAGGCGGCCCCCUGGACGAAGACUGACGCUCAGGUGCGAAAGCGUGGGGAGCAAACAGG
rnacentral:rRNA from 1 species